rnacentral:rRNA from 1 species
UACAGAGGUCCCAAGCGUUGUUCGGAUUCAUUGGGCGUAAAGGGUGCGUAGGUGGCGCCGUAAGUCAGGUGUGAAAUUUCGGAGCUUAACUCCGAAACUGCAUUUGAUACUGCGGUGCUUGAGGACUGGAGAGGAGACUGGAAUUUACGGUGUAGCAGUGAAAUGCGUAGAUAUCUGGAGGAACACCGGUGGCGAAGGCGGCGUCCUGGACCAAUUCUGGCACUGAGGAGCGAAAGCCAGGGGAGCAAACGGG